GAACGCACAUUGCGCCCCUUAGUAUUCUAGUGGGCAUGCCUGUUCGAGCGUCAUUUAGUCCACUUAAGCCCUUGCUUAGUAUUGGGAAUCUACUCCUGCAUCGCAGCUGUAGUUCCUCAAAGACAGCGGCGGAGUCGUGGUUUUACUCUGAGCUUAGUAAUUUUUUUCUAGCUUUCGAGUAGCCAUUGCCCCAUUGCCGUAAAACACCCUUUAUUUUUUAAUGGUUGACCUCGGAUCAGGUAGGAAUACCCGCUGAACUUAAG
rnacentral:misc_RNA from 1 species